UUGUUGCACUGAAUGCACAAUUGUGUUUCCUUGUUGUUUAGGUUUCAAAACUUUUCCAAAAGAUUCAAGAAAUGGUAAAGAAGAAAGCAAUCUAGUAUUUGUUUUGAUUGGUGAGGCAGAACAAAAUUUAACUUAAUGCUAUAUGCUUGUCAUGUGCUUUGGGUUAAGUGUGUGGUCAUGCAGAUGAAGUUGAAAGCCUUGCUGCGGCGAGGAAAGCUUUUAUAUCCGGUUCAGAACCUUCAGAUUCUAUUCGGGUUGUAAAUGCAUUACUAACUCAGAUUGACAAGUUAAUAUCAUCUCCAAAUGUGAUAAUCCUAAUCACAUCCAACAUAACUACUGCUAUUGGAAAAUUAUUAUGAAGUAGAAAAAGAACUUAAUCACACAAAUUAUGAAGAUCAAAUAUUAGAGAGUAAAAAUCACCAAUUUGUGAAGAUGAUGAGGAAUCUAUUUGCUAUUGUAAUAUAUCAAUCUUUUUUCUUUAUGAUUAGAUAUGGUUAUGACUUAGACUCUUAUUAUGUAAUUUUAAAGUAUCUUAGUUUAUUUGACUUCUAAAAGAUUCAC